rnacentral:misc_RNA from 1 species
UAGAAAGGAUUCCUCAUCAGAGCAAUAGGAUCCCUCUAAGCAGAAUCGUAUGAAGGCACUGAAGCUUUUUAAUUCAUGACAUGAAUGGCUGACAAUCUUAAAGGUGACAAAGAAAGUCACCUUUUGUUUUUCCUCGGCCAGGCUUACAUAUGUAGAGAUUUAGGUUCUCAGAGUCUACAGGUGAAACUAUAUAAAGUCAGUAUGACUAUACACGUCUUCCAUCUUUUAAACUUCUAAAGUAAAGAAAGUGCUGGGUACUCCAGUGUGAAUCUGGAUAAAGGCAGUCAUAUUCAUAGAAUGUGCCAAAUAUCCACUUUUGUUCUGUACAAAGGUUGACAAGAAAAGCCAAACACAUCUUUUACUUUCUAUAAAGAUCGC